rnacentral:rRNA from 1 species
GAUCAUGGCUCAGAUUGAACGCUGGCGGCAUGCCUUACACAUGCAAGUCGAACGGCAGCGGGCCUUCGGGUGCCGGCGAGUGGCGAACGGGUGAGUAAUGCAUCGGAACGUGCCAUUGAGUGGGGAUAACGUAGCGAAAGUUACGCUAAUACCGCAUAUUCUGUGAGCAGGAAAGCAGGGGACCGCAAGGCCUUGCGCUCUUUGAGCGGCCGAUGUCAGAUUAGCUAGUUGGUGAGGUAAAGGCUUACCAAGGCGACGAUCUGUAGCGGGUCUGAGAGGAUGAUCCGCCACACUGGAACUGAGACACGGUCCAGACUCCUACGGGAGGCAGCAGUGGGGAAUUUUGGACAAUGGGCGCAAGCCUGAUCCAGCCAUGCCGCGUGAGUGAAGAAGGCCUUCGGGUUGUAAAGCUCUUUCGGCCGGGAAGAAAUCGCAUGGGUUAAUACCCUGUGUGGAUGACGGUACCGGAAUAAGAAGCACCGGCUAACUACGUG